rnacentral:rRNA from 1 species
ACACGACUCUCGGCAACGGAUAUCUAGGCUCUCGCAUCGAUGAAGAACGUAGCAAACUGCGAUACUUGGUGUGAAUUGCAAAUCCCGUGAACCAUCGAGUCUUUGAACGCAAGUUGCGCCCGAAGCCAUUAGGCCGAGGGCACGUCUGCCUGGGCGUCACGCAUCGCGU